CGCGGGAGUUGCAGUUGAGGGAAGAGGAGGAGGCUUAGAAUCUAUAUGUGUUUGUGCAAAGCAGUUAACCAUUGAUGUAGAAAGGUUUUAUG
rnacentral:lncRNA from 1 species